rnacentral:rRNA from 1 species
GCUUGUCUCAAAGAUUAAGCCAUGCAUGUCUAAGUAUAAACAAAUUUGUACUGUGAAACUGCGAAUGGCUCAUUAAAUCAGUUAUAGUUUAUUUGAUGUUAUCUUACUACAUGGAUAACUGUGGUAAUUCUAGAGCUAAUACAUGCAAUCAAGCCCCAACUUCCGGGAGGGGUGUAUUUAUUAGAUCGAACCAACGUUGUUGGUGAGUCAUAGUAACUGAGCGAAUCGCCGUUUGGCGAUGGUUCAUUCAAGUUUCUGCCCUAUCAGCUUUCGAUGGUAGGGUAUUGGCCUACCAUGGCGUUAACGGGUAACGGAGAAUUGGGGUUCGAUUCCGGAGAGGGAGCCUGAGAGAUGGCUACCACAUCCAAGGAAGGCAGCAGG